GCCCACUGCCCUGGAGUGGGCCUGGAAUAUCUCCGGAUAUGAGCUUCUUUCCAUUUUCCUCUUCUGUUCUUCUCUGACUGUCCUCCAGCAUCUUCACUGCCUCCUUCAAGUUUUUUCCCAUUUCAGCUAACGUGGGGUCUGCUAUCUUCUCCAGGGACGCGUCCAUGGCUGAGGCGGCCGGUGGUGGCCUGGCGGUCCCGGGCUCUACUUCCUCCU
rnacentral:misc_RNA from 1 species